CCUGGGCUGCUGUCAUGUUAUCAGUGGCUGCUGAAGACACAUGGAGACAGAUGACUAAAGGAGGAAGUUACCCAAAAUUUAAAAUAUCUUUUCUUUAAAAGAAAGGGGUGGGGGAGAGAGAGGUUAGUUCUAAGGGCUCACACUGGUUCAUUCAUGAAGAUCACUUUCCAAUGCUUUAGAACCACACAGCAGUUAAAAAAGAAGAAAAAUGAAAAAAAAAUUCCUGAGGCAGCAGCCACAUCAUCUUUGCCUGCAGAACCCCACCCCUACAAAUUCAAAACAUUGCCAUGGUGACAAAUUUCAGCUGAGCCAUGUUCCCAAACCAUAACCAGACAAACAAAAGUGUUUGUGGGGAACUGUAAAGGAGCACAAUGACCUAUAGCCUUUGCCUUUGAAAGGAUUAAGGACCUAAGACUGAGGGAAGCAGCACCCUUUCCUUCCUCCUCCCUCUGCCGUGAAGUUGUCAUCGGGGGAAUCAUCCCUAUGUUUUGAACCUACUUAGAGACUGUCAGACCUGGAGCAGUACAAUUGCCAUUUGAUAGCCAAGCCCCUAGCUUGCAAGCAGGACCCAGAAAACCACGGAGGAUUUAAAGCCCUGAUGACUGCAGAGAAAAGCUUGAAAAUGCAACCCUAAACAUUCCAACACCAGAAGGAAAAUGAAAAGAACCCAAAAGAUACCUGUAGAAAAUGAGAUGGGAGUCUCAGCCCAGUUCUUAGUGAAACGGAUGUCCUCAUAAGACAUACAACAAAUGGCCCCCUUGAUCUUGAAGUAUAAGAACUAGAAGAAACUCAGCAAGAAGCUGACUGAGACCUUAUGUAUCCUUUUCAUUUAUUUUAAUUAUAAAAUCAAUGUAGUGCUGGUGAAAGAGUCAGACUGGCAGGCCCUGAAUAAUGAAGUCCUCUAUUUUUACUGGACACAACAGGUGGAAUAUGGGCUACAACACUGCAAGUUUCAUAAGCCACUGCCAGUGUGCUUCAACCCUAUCCCAGAGGGACCAUGUGCCCCGACCCGUCUCCUGAGAUUGUCAAUUUUGAUGGUGGGUCUUUUGGGCUAUGUAACUCAGUUCUACCAGGGAAAGAAGUAAGAAUCACCAACUUGUUUUACGCAGUCCUCCAAACAACCAUCAGAUGCCUCUCACGGAAAGUCUCUCCCAACCUUUAGCUAGACUGAAACCAAAGACCUUGUGUGGGGACAAUUCAGUGCAACCUCAAUGACUGUUGAAGAUAUAAGAUAUGUGAAAAGGAGAGAGAAGGAAGACAUCCAGAUGCAAUAAAUCGAUCCUCGAACACGCUCCCCGUCGACU